AUGAACGUUGGCGGCGUGCCUAAUACAUGCAAGUCGAGCGAACAGACGAGGAGCUUGCUCCUCUGACGUUAGCGGCGGACGGGUGAGUAACACGUGGAUAACCUACCUAUAAGACUGGGAUAACUUCGGGAAACCGGAGCUAAUACCGGAUAAUAUAUUGAACCGCAUGGUUCCAUAGUGAAAGACGGUUUUGCUGUCAAUUAUAGAUGGAUCCGCGCCGCAUUAGCUAGUUGGUAAGGUAACGGCUUACCAAGGCGACGAUGCGUAGCCGACCUGAGAGGGUGAUCGGCCACACUGGAACUGAGACACGGUCCAGACUCCUACGGGAGGCAGCAGUAGGGAAUCUUCCGCAAUGGGCGAAAGCCUGACGGAGCAACGCCGCGUGAGUGAUGAAGGUCUUCGGAUCGUAAAACUCUGUUAUUAGGGAAGAACAAAUGUGUAAGUAACUAUGCACGUCUUGACGGUACCUAAUCAGAAAGCCACGGCUAACUACGUG
rnacentral:rRNA from 1 species